rnacentral:rRNA from 1 species
UUCGCAAUGCCCGAAAGGGUGACGAAGCGACGCCGCGUGCGGGAAGAAGGCCUUCGGGUUGUAAACCGCUGUCGGGAGUUAAGAAGUGCAAGGGUGUUAAUAGCAUCCUUGCUUGACUAAGGCUCCGGAGGAAGCCACGGCUAACUCUGUGCCAGCAGCCGCGGUAAUACAGAGGUGGCAAGCGUUGUUCGGUAUUAUUGGGCGUAAAGAGCACGUAGGUGGUUUUGUAAGUCAGAUGUGAAAGCCUUCUGUUCAAAGGAAGAACGGCAUCUGAAACUGCGAAUCUUGAGUGUAGGAGGGGAGAGUGGAACUUCUGGUGGAGCGGUGAAAUGCGUAGAUAUCAGAAGGAACGUCGGCGGCGAAAGCGACUCUCUGGCCUAUUACUGACACUGAGUGUGCGAAAGUUAGGGGAGCAAACGGGAUUAGAUACCCCGGUAGUCCUAACUGUAAACGAUGGGCACUAAGUAGAGGGGUUUU